CUGCCCCCUGGUGGCGAAUAUGUGUUUCGCUUCAUCCUUGCAUUACGGUGGAGUGGGCGGAGCCUCGUGAAUGACGGUUAUUUUUUUCAAACGAGGAAGUGAAGUCAAGUCCGCCAUUUCAUCUUCUUUUUAUCGGAAAAGAAAGGAAUCAUGCAAGGAUGCAAGCUGAAGGAAAGGACAACUCUCACAUCAGUGCAUUACUAAUUGUUUGACUUCAUCAUCAAGCACACCAGGCGGUGCGAUGGUACAGUGGAUAGCUCUGUUGCCUCCCAGCAAAGAUGUUUCUGGUUCGAGCCUCGGCUGGCUCAGAUUGUGAUGGACCGGGAAUGCGACACCAGUUACUCUUAAGUCAAGAACCAAAUGAAGCACCACAGUACAGAUUAUGGAGGUAUCUGAAGUUGAACUAACUGGAGGCAGGGACCAUACUAAUAAAGUUCCUUAAGCAGGUUCCUUGUAAAGAUGAACCCAGGGAAGGAUCGAAAGUGGAGAAGACCAAAUCAAGAAAGACCACAUCAAGAUCUGCGGUCAGUUCAAAGGAUGUUUUGCAUUGGACUGUUUUUUUUUUUGGAUUUGACCCUUGCUCGCCCCUGACCUCACUCUUGGACUGCCCUGUUGGAUUUUCAGUUUAUUUUAUUUAUUUAUUUUAAAUUUUUUUUUUGGUUCUGAGUAGAUGCUAAUAAAUAUUUAGUUGUAAUUAUUUAAAUAAUAUGUUUUUGUUAAAUAUGCGAUUUCUGUGUUUGUUCUGUCUACUCAUACUUGUUUAUCUUGUUUCUGUAAUUAUCAUUUGUUAUUUGAC